GACGAACGCUGGCGGCGUGCUUAACACAUGCAAGUCGAGCGGGAUCCAACCGGUGGCAACACCGGGGAAGAUCUAGCGGCGAACGGGUGAGUAACACGUGAGCAACCUGCCCCGAAGACUGGGAUAACACCGGGAAACCGGUGCUAAUACCGGAUGUCGUCAUUAGGCCGCAUGACCUGAUGAUGAAAGGAUUCAUCGCUUCGGGAGGGGCUCGCGGGCUAUCAGCUUGNGGUGGGGUAACGGCCUACCAAGGCGACGGCGGCUAGCUGGUCUGAGAGGACGACCAGCCACACUGGGACUGAGACACGGCCCAGACUCCUACGGGAGGCAGCAGUGGGGAAUCUUGCGCAAUGGGCGAAAGCCUGACGCAGCAACGCCGCGUGGGGGAUGAAUGCCUUC
rnacentral:rRNA from 1 species